rnacentral:sRNA from 1 species
CAAUAUCAUCACAGUCACGCUAAACAUGGAGAAGUACAACUUCCUGGGUAUCUCCAUUGUGGGCCAAAGCAAUGAGCGGGGAGACGGAGGCAUCUACAUUGGCUCCAUCAUGAAGGGUGGGGCUGUGGCGGCCGACGGGCGCAUUGAGCCAGGGGACAUGCUUUUGCAGGUGAAUGACAUGAACUUUGAGAACAUGAGCAAUGAUGACGCCGUGCGGGUGCUGAGGGACAUUGUGCAUAAGCCUGGGUGAGUUGCGGAGCGGGUUGCAGGUCCUCAGUCCUCUUUUUUUUUCUCUUUCAUGUUUUGUUUUGGAAUUUUAAUAAGUACUAAGACAGCCGGGCGUGGUGGCUCGCGCCUGUAAACCCAGCACUUUGGGAGGCCGAGAUGGGUGGAUCACCUGAGGUGAGGAGUUCGAGACCAGCCUGACCAAUGUGGUGAAACCGUGUCUCUACUAAAAAUAGGAAAAUUAAGUGGGCAUGGUGGCGCACGCCUGUAGUCCCAGCUAGUCAGGUGGCUGAGACAGGAUAAUCACUUGAACCCCGGGGGGUGGAGGUUGCAGUGAAACGAGAUCACGCCACUGCACUCCAGCCUGGGCGACAGAGCAAGACUCCAUCU